rnacentral:rRNA from 1 species
GGGGGGGGGGGGGGGGGGGGGGGGCGGGGGGGGGGGGGGGGGGGGCGCGGGCUGCGGCCGGGCGGGGGGGGGCGAACGGGGGAGUAGUGCAGCGGAACGUGCCCAGUGGUGGGGGAUAGCCCGGCGAAAGCCGGAUUAAUACCGCAUACGACCUGAGGGUGAAAGCGGGGGACCGGAAGGCCUCGCGCUAUUGGAGCGGCCGAUGUCGGAUUAGCUAGUUGGUGGGGUAAAGGCUUACCAAGGCGACGAUCCGUAGCUGGUCUGAGAGGACGACCAGCCACACUGGGACUGAGACACGGCCCAGACUCCUACGGGAGGCAGCAGUGGGGAAUUUUGGACAAUGGGGGCAACCCUGAUCCAGCCAUGCCGCGUGCGAGAAGAAGGCCUUCGGGUUGUAAACCGCUUUUGUUCGGGAAGAAAUCCUCUGGGCUAAUACCCCGGGGGGAUGACGGUACCGGAAGAAUAAGCACCGGCUAACUACGUG